rnacentral:rRNA from 1 species
ACCCCGCACAAGCGGUGGAUCAUGUUGUUUAAUUCGAUGAUACGCGAAGAACCUUACCAGGUCUUGACAUCCCCCGCGAUGCUUUAGAGAUAAAGCGGAGGUAUUCGGGGAGACAGGUGGUGCAUGGUUGUCGUCAGCUCGUGUCGUGAGAUGUUGGGUUAAGUCCCGCAACGAGCGCAACCCCUAUUGCUAGUUACCAUCAUUAAGUUGGGGACUCUAGCGAGACUGCCAGUGAUAAACUGGAGGAAGGUGGGGAUGACGUCAAAUCAUCAUGCCCCUUAUGACCUGGGCUACAAACGUGAUACAAUGGCUGGAACAAAGGGAUGCGAAGCAGUGAUGUGGAGCGAAACCCAUAAAAACAGUCUCAGUUCGGAUUGAAGUCUGCAACUCGACUUCAUGAAGUCGGAAUCGCUAGUAAUCGCGGAUCAGAACGCCGCGGUGAAUACGUUCUCGGGCCUU